rnacentral:lncRNA from 13 species
CUCUUCUCAAGGAGAGGGAAGGAGUCUCUCCCACGGCGUGUUAAUUCACUUAGGAUAAUGGCCUCCAGCUGCAUCCAUGUUGCUGCCUGAUCCUGAUACGGGCAGAGGAAGACGUAACUUCAGUCAAGAAGCUAAAGGAACACACACGUUGAAGGGAACACGGGAAAACUGUCUGUGCAGCUCCACCUUCUGGGCGCAUUCUGCCAAACAUUUGGAGGGCCUAACCAUGUUUCUUGGGAGUCUCAUUUGGCUGACUGUGGAGACCAGGUCUCUAGAUGGAUGUUUUACCUUUAAACAUGACAAUUUUGUUUGAAUAUAACGAGCCAAGAAUUACACAGCUGCCAUUCUUUGUUUUGUCUAAAUUGUCUUGAUUUUUAACUUUACAUGUAUAAACUAUAUUCCAAAAACAAAAUUAAAAUGAAUAGGCAGGAGUUAGAUGGGGUACAUGAUGGAUGCUGGGUGUGUAGUUAGUAAUAGGAACAUUUGCUGCCACCUACAAGAACACGUGGGACACUUUCCCCUUUUCUAGACGAAAAACCAGGGAUCCAGGGCCAAAUUUCAGUUUAUCUUUCUUUUAGAAAGGGCUGUACCUGUUGCAUGUAUGUUUUAAUUAAGAAAACUGAAUAUACAAAAAUUCCAUAUUUCAGAAGCAAUGUUUUGAUGGUCAUUUGCAGUAGCUAAGGAUGGCUUCAUGAAAACAGGGGCUUCCUCAGAAUCCCUUUCUGUAUCUAUCAGCCACUCUAGUGUAGGCAAUUGACUUAAAAGUUUUGCAAAACAAGGCAUGCCGCCAAUUCUGUUCCUCCCCUAAUCAAUCCUUUCUCACAAAUAAUAAAAUGAUUGCUCAGUGUUAAUCUCUCUAUGAA